rnacentral:rRNA from 1 species
UGGGCUACACACGUGCUACAAUGGCUGGUACAAACUGCUGCAAACUCGCGAGAGUAAGCGAAUCAGAUAAAGCCAGUCUAAGUUCGGAUUGGAGUCUGCAACUCGACUCCAUGAAGCCGGAAUCACUAGUAAUCGUAGAUCAGAAUGCUACGGUGAAUACGUUCUCGGGUCUUGUACACACCGCCCGUCACACCACGAAAGUUGGUAACACCCAAAGUCGUUGUAUUAACCUUUUGGAGAUACGCGCCUAAGGUGGGAUUGAUAAUUGGG